GUCGGGAAUUUUGGGCAAUGGGCGAAAGCCUGACCCAGCAACGCCGCGUGAAGGAUGAAAUCCCUCGGGAUGUAAACUUCGCAAGAACGGGAAGAAUAAGUUUCAGUUAAUAUCUGAAGCGAUGACGGUACCGUUUGUAAGCUCCGGCUAACUCCGUGCCAGCAGCCGCGGUAAUACGGGGGGAGCAAGCGUUGUUCGGAUUUACUGGGCGUAAAGGGCGCGUAGGCGGUCAGCACAAGUCAGUUGUGAAAUCUCCGGGCUUAACUCGGAAAGGUCAACUGAUACUGUGCGACUAGAGUGCAGAAGGGGCAACUGGAAUUCUUGGUGUAGCGGUGAAAUGCGUAGAUAUCAAGAGGAACACCUGCGGCGAAGGCGGGUUGCUGGGCUGACACUGACGCUGAGGCGCGAAAGCCAGGGGAGCGAACGGGAUUAGAAACCCUAGUAGUCC
rnacentral:rRNA from 1 species